rnacentral:lncRNA from 1 species
GUUUGGUCUUGAUUUGUGCCUUGGGGCCAUGGACUAUAAUUUUAGAACUGCUGUUUGCAUUUAAUGUUAUUAUCAUUAUAGUUGGGUUUACGUCCUUUGCCUUGUUUUUUUCUUUUUUGUUUGUUUUUUUUUUUUUGUACCUGGGUACUGGGAAUUGAAUCCACAGCCUUUGCACUGCGCUUAUUUAGCUUUUAUUUUUUUUAUUUGACACAGGUUCUCACUAAGUCCUUAAGUUUCCCAGGCAAGAAUUGAACGUGGGACCCUGCUUCAGCCUCCCACAAUGCUGGCAGGCAGGAGAUUAGGGUGUGGCCAUCUGGCUGGGCCACUGACCUGUCAGUCAUGGAGAUCCAGGGGACUUGUGCUCAGGAGACUGCUCCUGGAACCAAUGGGAAAGUGCUGUCUUCAGUUCUUUGGGAGGACUCACGCAGGACGGCCUCGGCCUGACGUCGGCGGGAGUGGGAGUAGGUCCAGAGCCUGGGAAGUUUGCUGGAGGAGGGCUUCGGCCUGUGUCCUCACACGAUGUCCUCGCGUGGCAGAAGGGCGCAGGAGGACGAGGUUGAGCUCCAUCUCGCAGCCCCCUGGGAGACGUCAGCCUCCUGGUGCAGGUGGGUCCUGCGGGCCUGAUCCCCUUCCGGAGUCCUCAUAC